CUGAUGCAUAACUGGCUGUUGGUUACCAGAGAACGGGGUUUCUCCUCAGCAUCACUUCAACAUCUAUCUUCUUGUCAGUCACCUUCUCUCGUUCCCUCCUGCACAAUUCUUCCCCCAACACUCACCUCCAAACCCCGUUUCUGACCUGAGGAUGCUCUGGACCUGCUCCGCUUCCUUCUCCCGAUGGAACCUUCCAUUUAAACCCAGAGACGAAGACCCUAGGUGUUUCCUCCUGAGUUGGACGUUUACCGGGAAAUCUGACAGCUGUUAUUUUCAGCUCUCUGUACAACCAACUGAUGCCAGACAAGAUAUGGACCCAGUUGUUGUGGUUGUGGUUGCCCCAGAGGAACUUAUUCCAAAGUUCGCACGGGCAAUCCUGGCUUGAAGUGACCGAGCACGCCCCCGUCUAAUCCGAGGGUCCAGAGGGCCCAGGAGGGAACACAGCACAUCGGAAGGGGGAGAGCUUCCUGCAGCCCCGGUCUUGAUGCCAAUCUGCCCCGUGACCUCGGGCAAGACGCUUCACCUCUCCAAGUCCUCCGCUGAACAGCCGACAACUCUAGAUGCAGAACUCAAAACCAUUCACUGUAUAGUGAUGGACAUUUGAACCAUAUUUAAACGUGCAUUUAGGUUCCUAACUAAAAAGAAAAAGAUAAUGUGUAUUGCUGCAGUAACUCUUCUUAAAGUUUGAACACGGUGAUGGAGAGAACGAGAGACCUGAUCGUGGGUCACAUUUCCUCCUUCAGGCUUCUUUUGUGGUUGUUAAUUCAAGGCUCCUUUGAGCGCUAUCUGUGUCAUUUGAAACUUUAGUGAGGGCGACGUGGAAUCUUGAACAGAGAGGAGCAGGCCUGUCCCCAACCCCCCUCAGCUGCCGCUCUUCCUUCCAGUAACCACUUGGCACUCUCCUCCUUCGGAUAUUUGUGAGGGAGUUUGGGGCAUCACAACCAAGUGGCACACCAAUGAUGAACGUUUUCAUUCUAACGUUGAUGCUGAGGUUUGAAACCACUUACAAAUGUUAGCUUUUCAUUGUUUAGAAUGGCUUAGUCUACGAACAUGGAUGUUCUUUUAUUCACGCAGUCAAUCCUAUUGAACACAUACCAUCAAUGAAGCAGGAAAACAGUGUUUUCCGUCUCCGGAGGUGUCUGCAGAAAGGAGGCAGCACGCGCUGGCGUGACUCAGUGCCACAUCAACGAGCCUCUGCUUAGGCUUGUCUUGGAAGAGAGCGGACAGAUGGCAGAAGGACACUUUCACGACACACACCUGAGCCAAGACCAGAAUUCGCAGUGCAUUUUUAAAGAAUGUCUGAGAUAUAAGUGUCUGAAUGUGCGUUUCUGAAAUUUAAGCUUGAAAAUCCGGGGAAUAAUUGAAAACUGGAAUCUAUAUAUUUUUCUAAAAUCACCGAAUUGAAGCCAAAAUGGAAUAUCUGUGACCUCCACAAAAUGCUCUUAGUUUGAGGUCAUGGUCUUUGGUUAGACAGAAACCAGGGAGGCGGUCAAAGAGUGUGGGCGAUGACGAAGUGCUGCUCUGGGGUGGAAGGCGAGGGGUUGAUGCCCUCAGACCCACUGGGGGCCCGUUUCCAGGUCUCACUGACCUGGGUAAGAGGGCUCUUCGAUAGCGAGACUUUUCUGCUGUGGUUUAAAUUCUUUUUCUUCACCAUCCUUCUGUGAAGAUGGGGGCAGCGAGGUCUUAUUUGCCUGCCUUGGCCCUGUCUAUGCUCUAUGACUGUAAAUGCUUAACUGGCUCUUCCGCCGACAGAAAGGUCCAAACAUCUCAGUGAGCCUUCGAGAUGCUUCAGUCCUGCUCUUCCUCCGCACCUGUCUCUCACACGAGAGGCCCGAGCGGACCAGCGCUGACAACAGCGCUAAGAUUGCUUUUGUUCUCACGCAUUCCAGGCUCCGGCACAAAUCUCCAAUUACUUUGUUUUUGUUUUUGUUUUUGAGUAACAGGGCUCGGCAGUGCUCUUUCUCAGCAUCUAUGACUCUCUAUCCUUGUCCAGCUCACUUUUUUGGGUCAUUUUUUGCACCUUCCCAGUCUCCAGUCAGGACUGUUUCCGUGGGUCGUUCAGAAGCCUCCAGUUUGGAAGGGAGGCAGGAAAACUAGCAGUUAAGACCCUAUUGACCAGCAGGGCCAUAGACUCACUAAGAUAUUAGACCGGUCCUAGAAGAGCUUGUGGAGACGGGUCAGACCCUCCCUCCCACAUCCCGGCCUCCCGACAUCCCUUGGGCACGCAGCCCCUGCUGGAAGCUCUCCUGAAGCUGAAAAGUCAUCGCGUUAUGAAGCAGCACAUUCCAUCGCUGGACAGCUCUGGUCGUCGGGGAGACCUGCUUCCCCAUAGCUUCUUCCCUUCGGUUCUGGUUUGACUCACGGUUCCUCACUGACAAACGGAAGGCCUCCGUGACAGCAACCGGCGUGAAGACACGUUCCUCGCAACAUCCCUCGUCAACUUGGAUUCUAGGUGACUCCCCUCUCCCCGGAUGAACAGAAGCUGACAACUUAUACUUGAUUUCUGGCAGUUAAUGCCAGGAAACAAAAUAAACUGUUUUUAUUUGA
rnacentral:lncRNA from 1 species